rnacentral:lncRNA from 1 species
CAGGGCCCCACCUUUAGGUUCAUGGACUCCUGGCCAAGAAUCCUUGAGUCUAAACUAUGGAGUCUGUCAGCCGCCAGGUGGGGGCCAAAGGCAGGUCUGCAGGUCUGCAGGUCUGCAGGUCAGCAGCCUGGACUGGGCACAUGGGAGCUGGCUUUUCAGCUUCCCCUUUUGUUGUUUGGCUCUGUGCACAAGAAAGCCCCAGCCCCUCCCCCAGCUCCCCCUUCCCGUCCACAUGCCCCCCCACACACACACACCCACCCCAGCUGUUGGACAGAUGAAUUACAGCCUCCGGCUUGGGGCCAGGGCUGGUGAGGGAUUAAAGCUCUGGGGCUGGCCCUUUAAAUGGCUGCUAGCCCCUCCCCCACCCUGGUAUCCAGACACCCCAUACACACCCCUCUGACCCCCUUGGCUAACCCUCACUCCUCUUGGUCUGUCCAAAGGCCUGCCACUUCCCUCUCUCUAGGCUAGACCCUCCCCAGCAUCCCCUUCUUCCCCAACACAACCACAUACACAAAUGCUACAGACUUCACACACAUACAAACACACACACACACACUCACUCACCCCCUGGUCUACAUUCACACACACACACACACACACACAGAGUCACUCACUCACCCCCUGGUCUCAUGUUCUGAGCAUCCCUCUUCUGGAGGUUCCAGCCUCAAACUCCCUUCUCCAGCAGAAGGACCUUGCCUGCCUGGCUUCCCUAGCCUGCAGCAGACCACUACCCUGGCCAGGUUCCCCCAGGCACCAUGCCAGCCCCGUAGAACCACCCACCCCACCCACUGUGGUCUGCUGCACCCCAUUGCUGGGGCACUGGUUCCAAUGAGACAGGGCACACCAAACUCCAUCUGGUAAGUCCUACCCCUCACCACUACCCCCAACAGUCCAACUCUGCACCACAUGCAUGAAGGACUGGUAUGAUCUAGAUCAUGCCUACUCCCCAGAAUGGUCCAGUCCAACUCAGAGCACCCCCUACCAUGUGGUGCUUGGGUGGUUCAGCCUUCCUCAUUUAUGGAGCUCCCCUCUGUUGCCUAUGAAUGGUUCAUCCCUGUACUUCACCAGCCUCUCUACUACCACCAAAAAAUCUUUUCCCCCCAGUGCUACAACUCAGUUGCUUACUGAAUUGAAUUAAGCUAGGGUUUGUGAGCUGGAAAGUAGAGAUGAGAUACCCUGGAGAAAUUUUUCUUGGCAAGUGAGAGGGGUUAGCCCCUGUAAGAGUUGUUGAACAGCCUAGCUUUUAUGGAAGGUGAUUGGAAAUUGAUUUGGAGAGAUACUGGAGACCACUGU